AGUCGCGCGCGCGCUACUGAGCAUUUCUCCCGCAGGCCGCGCCGCGGCCCCGCCUCGUUGCCGGUUGCCCUCGUCGCCUCCGCCUCCGCCUCCAUGUGUCCCCCACCUACGGCGCACCCUGCCGGCGAGGUCGCUGCCAGAUCCCGCGGCGCCGAUCGCAGAACCAGCGCUCCGCUUCCGCUCCAUAGGUCACUCUCCGUGUUGCACUCCUACCUUUCCUAGGUCCAAUUUAAAACGGUCAACUUUGCAGGAUGGAUUUCGUUGUUGCACACAGCCUUCUCUCAUAUUGCAUCUUCCUUUUUUUGACUGGCUUUCAGCUGGCUGAUGUAUACUCCUCAAAUAAAGCUUCAGGGGUAUUAUUUGAGCCACUCGUGCUUCGCUCAAUCAUCCAUCAUGCAGCUGAUAAGGGAAAUAAAAUCUCCACUUUGCCAGGUCUGCGUGGUCUAUCAUUCACGUGGUGUCCAAUUUGUAUCCACCACUUCCAAGUAAUUGGUCGCAUGGUAUUUGUGUAAAUACUUCCUAUCACACUCAGUCCAUAAAAAUUCAAAGAUUGAGCAUUCAGACAGGAAAAUAACAGUUAUGGCUUCAUGCAUUGCGAUACAUCAA